rnacentral:rRNA from 1 species
GAUGAACGCUGGCGGCGUGCCUAAUACAUGCAAGUCGAGCGAACAGAUGAGGAGCUUGCUCCUCUGACGUUAGCGGCGGACGGGUGAGUAACACGUGGAUAACCUACCUAUAAGACUGGGAUAACUUCGGGAAACCGGAGCUAAUACCGGAUAAUAUAUUGAACCGUAUGGUUCAAUAGUGAAAGACGGUUUUGCUGUCACUUAUAGAUGGAUCCGCGCCGCAUUAGCUAGUUGGUAAGGUAACGGCUUACCAAGGCAACGAUGCGUAGCCGACCUGAGAGGGUGAUCGGCCACACUGGAACUGAGACACGGUCCAGACUCCUACGGGAGGCAGCAGUAGGGAAUCUUCCGCAAUGGGCGAAAGCCUGACGGAGCAACGCCGCGUGAGUGAUGAAGGUCUUCGGAUCGUAAAACUCUGUUAUUAGGGAAGAACAAAUGUGUAAGUAACUAUGCACGUCUUGACGGUACCUAGUCAGAAAGCCACGGCUAACUACGUG